AUGGAAGUGAUGAUUAUUUCCCCAGAUGAUCGACGCUGAAACUGAUCCAUCGCGGAAGCUUAUGAGCGUUUUUAUUUCUCUUUGAAUUUAUUAAAAGAGAAUUCAAGCCAGGAAACUGAUCCAU
rnacentral:snoRNA from 1 species